rnacentral:rRNA from 1 species
CAUAGAGAUUGAACUGAAGAGUUUGAUCCUGGCUCAGAUUGAACGCUGGCGGCAUGCUUUAC